CCAAACAUAUAACUGUCCGAGUAAGACUAACCCCUACCUCCCAAAAGCCCUCUCACUUCGUCUCUCUCACCCUCUCUCUUAUCUCUCUGAACCUCCGCCCAUCGCCGUCACCGAAAAUCGCCCCACGGUGGCGGGGCCACUCCAAACCUCCCUAAAUUUUCACCAGAAAAUCCCCAUCAUCUCCCCUUUCCAAAUCCCAAACCAAUUCCCUCGAAUCUCUCUCAAAUCUCUCCAAUUUUAGAUCUGAGACCAAUCCCUAGUUCAUCCAAACCUUUCCAAACCCGUCUAAUUUCCAACCAGGAAACCACCACACUCCCCUCACCUCGUAUCUCUUACAAGUUACCCUAGAAACCCCGCCAAAAUCAGUGAAUUGUAGAUCCAAGAGUCCAGAAGAGACCCUAGUUCAACCUUGCACAAUUUUUGGAGUAUUUUGUCCGUCUUGGGUCGAGACUCAUGUGAAUUGAUUGCUUUUGAUAAGAGCAAUCGUCUGGUAUUAGUUUCGACCCAUUUCGAAGUCACAACUGAAGCAUGGCCAGGUCGUAACCUUCUUUGUUCACAGUACCCUUCCUCUUUCUUUUCUUUUCUUGUUUUGUUUUUGUUUCUAUUUCUGAUUUUUUCUUUUAGUUGUUUGAGUUAAUUUCUUAUUAUAUGCUUGUUUGUAUGUUCUUUGAGUAUGUAAUUGUUCAAAUUAGUUUUAUUGGCUAUUUGUUUAAGUUAAUUUGAGCCUUUUACUUGUUUCGAGUUAGGCUAGAUUAUUUGUUUGAAAUAAUUUAGCUUCAUUAAUUACAUGAUUAGACUUCAUCAUUAGGAAUUUAAUUUGUCAAGUUUUAGCACGUUUAGUUUCUAAUAACCCAUUUAUUUUUUUUUCUUUCAUGUUUAUUCUUCUUGCAAGUGUGAUCUUAGUAUCCAUUAGUUUAAUUAGGAUAGGGUUAAUGGUUAAUUGCCUAUUUCAGCUAAUUCUGGAUUGAUUUAGCUUUUAGCCUUUAUCAGCCUAGUCUUAGUUAAUAUAGGUUAAUUUUGAUUUCUGAUGUUUCUUUGCACAAAGCAUGCUGAAUCUCAUUAGUUGUCUGAAUCUGAGUUUACAUGUAUUGAUUGUUUAUAUGUUUUGAUUGCUUAAGAUUAACUGAUUUUAAAAUUAGGUUUGAACCUCUGAGCAGCAAUUUAAAGUUUAAUUUAAUUUCAGAAAUUGAAUUGCAAUACUACUAGGCAACCUAAUCACUUAGCUGAAGGUCCUAAAGAGUGUUCGGAUGGAAUUGAGGUCAAAAUAUAGGUCAAAAUUAUAAUAAUCAGUAAAUGGGAGGAUAAAAUUGUGUUUUUACAUAGGUUAAAAAUCAUAAUGUUCUAGAUUUAGCACAGCUAUCCCCAUCCUUAGCAUAAAAUGCUUGUAUUGGAUAAGGAAAAGGACAGACAGCUAUAAAAGAAGAUGUACUAUUCUGAUUUUUAGAUUUUUUAGGUCAGAAUAUUCCUUUUUGAUGCCUAUUUGUGCACUCUAUAAAAGGAAAACAUUCCCUCACUCACACACAUACACAUCAUCAUCAUUUUCUCUACACAAAAAAGUUCAAAAAACACACUGAGAUCUUAGCCCUAUAAAAAAUACAAAGUUUUCUGCAUUGCUGGAUUAUCUCUGGUUCUUUUUAUUAGCAAAACUUUUGAAAUUCUCUACUGGUUUUCUGGGUUAAAAUAUGGUUUGAAGCAAGGUUGAUUGUUGCUAAUUUGCUGCUAUUCUCGUUAGUUUUGCUGUACUGAGCCCUUACUCCAUUUUACUUUAUUUCGAUAUCCAGGUACUCCUCUCAACCUUUAGAUCAUCAGAGAAGUGGGGAGUAUGUAUCUAUGUGUUGUAAUGAAAGUUUGGAUUUAUUUAAAUGUUUAAGGCUCAUAUAGAUGUUGUGUAAUAUGUGACUGAAUAUUUUGUAUGUUGGAUCUUUGAUUCUUGUGUGCAGAACUAUUUCUGGUAGAACUCUUGUUCAAAUAUUAUGCAUUUAAGGAUUCAAUGUCACUAGCGGUAAUUGUGUGUAUGAAUAAUACCACUUUUGAGUCAUGUAUAUAUUUUGACAAGAUGAGCUGUUACAGUGUCUUAUUAGUAUGAUUGACAGGUGUUAGAAUGGUUUGUGUAUAAAAAAUACAAAUUUUAGUUGGUUAAGGAAGUUGGGA
rnacentral:lncRNA from 1 species